rnacentral:tRNA from 1 species
GGGGAUUUAGCUCAGUGGCAUAAGCACCUGCCUUGCAAGCAGGCAGGCAUAGUUUGAUCCCUG